rnacentral:rRNA from 1 species
UGGAAUUUGGCAAUGGGCGCAAGCCUGAUCCAGCAACUGCCGCGUGCAGGAAGAAGGCCCUCGGGUUGUAAACUGCUUUUGUACGGAACGAAAAGGUCCUGGCUAAUAUCUGGGGCUGAUGACGGUACCGUAAGAAUAAGCACCGGCUAACUACGUGCCAGCAGCCGCGGUAAUACGUAGGGUGCAAGCGUUAAUCGGAAUUACUGGGCGUAAAGCGUGCGCAGGCGGCUGUGUAAGACAGGUGUGAAAUCCCCGGAGCUCAACUUGGGAAUUGCACUUGUGACUGCAUAGCUAGAGUACGGCAGAGGGGGAUGGAAUUCCGCGUGUAGCAGUGAAAUGCGUAGAUAUGCGGAGGAACACCGAUGGCGAAGGCAGUCCCCUGGGCCUGUACUGACGCUCAUGCACGAAAGCGUGGGGAGCAAACAGGAUUAGAUACCCUGGUAGUCCACGCCCUAAACGAUGUCAACUGGUUGUUGGGUCUUCACUGACUCAGUAACGAAGCUAACGCGUGAAGUUGACCGCCUGGGGAGUACGGCCGCAAGGUUGAAACUCAAGGGAAUUGACGGAG